rnacentral:ncRNA from 2 species
GCCAUAUCGCUUCGUUCAGGUGCCCGCGCGAGCGGGAGAAUCGGGAAUCCGGUGAAAAUCCGGAACGUGCCCACCGCUGUGACGGGGACGGUCUUGCACUGAAAUCUUGAGGUUUAUCAAGAUUUUGCCACUGGAUCUUCAUGUGAUCCGGGAAGGCAGCAAGAUCGGCUGAUCCGCAGUCAGAAGACCGGCCUGACAGGAUAGACCAGC